rnacentral:lncRNA from 1 species
UUGCAGCCUCCAUUCUUUAAUUUGAGUCUCCACUUGCAUUACAUGCUUCCAAACAUACCUUUUUAUUUGAUUUUUCAAGUUUUGAACUCUCUUCUCUUUGUGAAUUGGAUGACAGGAUAAUUUGUAGAGACUUUAAUGGCCGUGAGAAAACCUGGUUUAAUUGCUCUAUUUGAUCUUGAUGACACUCUCACUGCUCCAAGGAAGGUAUUAAUUAAAAAAAAAACAUUGUCAGCGUAAAAUAAGAAUAAAUAUCAAAUUAGUUCACCCAUUGAAAUUGACUUUUCUUCAAUUCAAAUUCCAGGCAGCCACCCCAAGUAUGUUAGAGUUCAUCAAGGAACUCCGAAAGGUAUUAAUUAUAUUUAUUUUUAGCACUAAAAAAACGGGUUAUUCUUUUUUUAUGGAGUCUUUGCCCCUCGAACAGGGAUGGAGAGUUAAAGAGUAUUGGUAAAUGCAGGUUGUUACUAUAGGACUGGUGGGUGGAUCUGAUCUCUCUAAGAUAUCAGAGCAGCUUGGAAAGACAGGUUUGAGCUUACUAAGGUUUUAAAGCUAUUUUUCUGGAGUUUAAGGGGAGUUAGUAAUUGUUGUAUUCUUGGCUCUGCAGUUAUUAACGACUAUGAUUAUGUAUUUUCUGAAAAUGGGCUUGUUGCUCACAAAGAUGGGAAGCUUAUCGGCACCCAGGUACAGUUUGAGAUGGAGAUUUGAAACACUUGAGCUCAGUAUUAGAUCUGUUUCUUUUUUCCUUAAAAUACUAGCUGCCAGUUACUUGUUAACUUGUUUUUCUAAAUUACUGUGUAUAAUUCUCCUUUUCCAGAGCUUGAAGUCAUUUCUUGGAGAUGAGAAGCUCAAGGUGAGAUCUUUUGCCCAUUAUACAAGAAUAAUCUAAGAUUGCUUGUCUAGAAAUGGUGUUCUUUAAUGAUGAAUCCAUUUAAGUGGGGUUAUGAAAGAGAUGACUCGUAAAAGCAUUAAUGUUUGCAGAUUACUUGUCUGAGACUACAACAAGAACAAGAUCAUCUAGGAUAAAUUGAAUAGUGUAGGGAAUAGUGUCUUUUCACUGAGGAUGCUGACUUGCAGCGCCGAGACUCGCAUCCCAUUGAGAUAAUUAAAAAAAGGGAUGUUCUGGCAUAGUAAUUAUAUCGAUUUUUUUUCUAAUAAAUUUUUAAUGAAUCUGCAGGAAUUUAUAAACUUCACACUUCAUUAUAUUGCUGACUUGGAUAUCCCCAUAAAAAGGUGAGUGAAUUCAGAGCUUGAAAGCCAAUUUUUUUAAAAGCUCAUCCAGCUGAAUAUUGCAAAGAUGCUCAAUAAGACCUUUCUGUUUUCCAAUGACUUCUUUUUUAUACAAGUUUUCCAAUGAUUUCUAAAGGGGAACAUUUAUAGAAUUACGAAGUGGGAUGCUUAAUGUGUCACCAAUUGGACGGAACUGCAGCCAAGAAGAAAGAGAUGAAUUUGAAAAGUAUGACAAGGUAAGAAAAGACGUGGGUUAGAAUUUGAACAAAAAAAAAUUAUUAGAAGCUAUUGGGUUCAUAUUCUGGACUCUUUGUAUAGUUGAUGUUAAUGCUGAAAUACUGAACAAAUUGAGUCCUCAGGUUCAUAACAUACGCCCAAAAAUGUUAUCUGUGCUGUGUGAAAAGUUCGCUCACCUUAACCUCACAUUUUCAAUAGGGGGACAGAUAAGCUUUGAUGUAAGUGCCAUGUUAACUAGCUUAUGAUGAUUCUUGAAUGCAACAAUCAGAAGGCGGGUUUGGAAGAUUGGCAUCAUAUUCAUUAUUCGUGCGAGAUGCUUGUAACAGGUUUUCCCUCAAGGCUGGGACAAGACAUACUGUUUGAGAUACCUUGACGAGUUCAGUGAAAUUCACUUCUUUGGUGACAAAACCUACAAGGUUAUCCUCUUAUUAUAUUUCUUGCUUUGUGUUUUUAAUUAAUGAAAAUCAACAACACUUACAUUAUUUGUAGUCACUAAUAAUGUGUUUGUUUUCUUCAAAGUAACCUUCCUUUUGUUGGGACUUCAUAUUUUAUAGAUUAUGUUGUGUUUCAAACAUAACUUGUUAAUGGGCAUCAUUCCUGCUACUGUAGGGCCCCCUAAUUAUGAAUUGCUCAUUGGAUUUGUGGUGCUAAUGUUAGUCAUUUUGUCAAGAGAAACAUCAACUGGGGGGAAAUAAAGAAUAACCAAAUAAUUGGUGUAAAGAGUCUGAGUUUCAUUAACUAACGGAUAAUGUUUAGAGUUGCAACUGUGUGGACUUGCUGCUAUUUUGUAAGCUAAAGGGCUAGUCUUGAGUUAUUCUUGACUGAUUAUGACAAUUUCUGAGGAUUGUACUGGAAGAGUUGCAUUGAUUUGGAAAACAAUGGAUUUUCACUCUUUGUAUCUAGUUAUAUCCUCAAAGCAGUAGAUAUUCGUGAUUUCCCACAGAAUAUACUUCUCUAUUUGUACUGGAAGAGUUGCAUUGAUUUGGAAAACAAUGGAUUUUCACUCUUUGUAUCUAGUUAUAUCCUCAAAGCAGAAGAUAUUCGUGAUUUCCCACAGAAUAUACUUGUUUUCUAUAAUUUAAACUAACCUUAGAAAAUUCAGGCUUGGUCCACACUCCUGCAUAUAUCUUGUGUUGCUUUCACUGUUUCAGUGGCAUUCUAAUGUCCAUAUGCAAUUGGAGAUGUGAUUCUAAUUGUAGCAUUCUAUAAUUCUUCUUUAUCAUUGAAUUCCUGGAUUUAUUGGAUUUUUUAUUUGAACAGGGGGGAAACGAUCAUGAGAUAUAUGAAUCAGAACGAACGGUGGGUCAUACAGGUCAGAAAAAGAUUUCAUCUCCAACCUAUUUACUGGCAUCUCAAGGUUUCAUAUUCAAUAUGAUAUGCAUCAGAAUAAAUAAAAUCAAAACAGCUUAAGAUAUAAGUUAAUUCAACUAGUUAUAUUUUUUUUUCACAUGGGAGAGUAGGGAAUUAAAGAUUGGUCUCUAAAGUUGGACUUCACCUAUAACAUUGUGAAGUUUGUGGGUGGUUAUCCUGAACGCUUCAGCUGUCAUUACUGCAUUCAAACAAUAACAUUUAGCUGCAUAUUUUUGUCUUAUACAAAGUCACUAUGAUACAUGCAAAUGCCAUGUGAAGCAAAAAACUCAUUCCAGAUGCAAUUAAUCUAAAUGGAUGGUCUUAUUUCCCAUUUUUAUUAAAGUAUGCUUAAACGUUAAUGCAGCUGUAUUUAAUGGUUUCGAUUUAUGGCUAUUUUAUCUGCAGUUACCAGCCCUGAUGAUACAGUGGAGCAGUGUAAAGCCCUCUUCUUUGCCUGAGCUCAUGGCAAUUAUUUUGUUUCAACUCUGUGUUACAUUUGUAUGUUAUCCAUGAGAAUAAGCGCAAAAUAUAAAUUCCCAAUUGAAUGUAUUAUUUUAUGAACAAUGAAGACGUGAUGGAGAGAUAUCCAUUUAUCACAUGUAAUUUCUUAACCUCGACUCCUAUUUAUAUGCGUUUAUGAGAAUGGGAAUUUUACCAGCACCAGCAGUAAGCUUGGAGACUGAAAUGCCUUCGUGUAUGCUCUUUUUCCUCGUUUAUCUUCUUGUGUUGUUGCCUGAGCAAACCUAAAGCAAUCUUUAUGGAAAUCGUAAUUUAUUUUUUAAGCGUGGAAAAAUUAGUUUCUUAUCUAAAUUAUAUAUAUUUUUCAAUGAGAUGCAGGUAAAUAAAUUUGAAUUUUAUUUGUAGCUUAAACCGAAAUACUAUGAUUAUUUUUUCUUCCAUCUUCUGUAGCUGCAAUGAUCAACUGUGUGCUUUUCAAAGUGGUAUAUGGUGCAUAAUGUUGAUUUUACCACACAUAAAAAAUAGUUUUUGUAUCAAUUAAACUUAAAAAAACUGAACUGAAUUAAAAUUAAUAAUCGAGUCAAACUAAAAAAAACCUAAGGCAAAUCAAAUCAAACCCAUUAAAAAUUACAAAAAAAAAAAAAAAAAAAAAACAAUAGAGUUUUUGUUUGUUAGUAUAAAAUAACCGAACCGAAACUAAACGGUUGGAUUUUGGUUUUUAUUCUAAAAUAACUAAACUAAACUGAAAUCGGUCAGUUUGAACCGGUUUUAGUUUUAAAAAAAAUUAAUUUAGUUUGGUUUUUUUUGGAUAAAAACCAAAUUUAAUAAAAAAUAAUCACUUUUAGUUAUUGGAUCUAAUCCCAAUGCAUAUUAAUUUUGGGGUCAAUUGUUUCUGAUUAUUUUUAUCAAAUGAUUUUGCACAAAUCAGCUCCUUCUGUUCUCAAAUUACGAAGCUGCUAUUUCCAGGUGGCUCCAUACAAAAGAAUUCGUAGAGUUGCAUUUAUUGCUGCAAUACCCAAGAAUCCGUCUGGCAAGAUUCUCCGAAAGGAUCUUAUGAAGCUCGCAACCUCCAAGCUAUGAAUGCUUCAGGCUUAUGCAAGAUCAUAAUAAGUACAGGCUUCUGCAAGAUCAUAAUAAGUAGAGCAGGCGUGCAUGGUCAACUACAAUGUUCAUGUUUAUAUAGCUAAUAAAACUUCUCAAUAAUUUAUUUUAUUAAGAAUUAUGAUCCGUUCUUUUUUCUUGUUUUGAUGACGCAACAUUACAGUGCGUAUAAAUACUAGGGUUCUUUCUAUAAAAAAAAUGUAAUUCAAUAAUCUGAAUGAAAAAUAACACAUCAGAUUUAUAUUUUUUGAGAAAACUAUAUCGUGGCUUAAGAUUUAAAGCUGUUGAAGGGUCUUGCACGAGAACUACAAAGCGAAGAAAGACAAAAUUAGAAAGGACUUUAAAACCAGAACAUGGCCUUCUCUGAAAUUUUGCUGCAGUCUCGAGUCACUUGCAGGAGAACUCCUGGAAACUUCGGAAAGGCCAUCCAUCUCAGAAUUCUAGGCUCCUGAAAGAGACAAGGAAUUUUAGGCUCGUCAGGAAUUUACUUGGGUCGAUAUCAAACAGCCAAAAUAGUAAUCCCCUGAGGCCAAAAACCGUCGGCUUGCAGAGCACAAGGCAAAAGGAAGGCAGCCGCCAUAUUUGAGUUUGCACGUCUAGCUAAUAAACUGUGAUAUUCAAGAAAGACGCCUCGCUAGGAACUUCUAGUCAUCUUCUUCACCUUUUUUAAACUCAUGUAAGACAGCUUCGUCAUCAAUACAUUGACUUCCUAUUUAGCUUCAAUGUCCCAUUUUCUCUAACCAAAAAGAAUUCGCAUCACAUAGCACAAAUUAGUCAAAAUUAACAAGGAAUUUGUAACUUGUGGUUGUUUCAGGAGUCUACAAGGGUAUUGGAUUUGUUAUAUGUAAGCUGUUGGAUUCUGAUGGCAUUUCAGUGGUGCCCACAUCUAGAGAUUAGCAGAGGGGACUUGGUAGUUGGGAACCAUGGCUUUGGUUUUGUUAUACCCGUAGACUUCUCAAGGAGGGCUAAGACUGGCAAGGUAUUUCUGUUCAAAACAUUCCUUCUUCGCUGGUUUGGAGCUUUCUUCCUGUUGGUGCUUGACGGUGCAAAUCAACUAUGGGAAGUAAUGACUCAAACAGGAGUUAGCUGAAGAACGCCUGAAAUAAACUAUUGUGGAGCCAAGAGGAUGGAUUGGUGGAAGCCCUCGUUCACUCCCACAGAUUAUGUGAUUCUCCAUGACUCAUCAAUGUUUCCUCCACUUCAGAGAAAGUUAAUGGUAAAACCUCCGUUUAAUUGCUGACAUCUCAGAAAGGAACUGGUUCAAGUUUGAUACUGGUAGCUAGUUUGGCUGGUUAAAAAGUCUGCUGUAUGCCGAAAGUAGAUCUUACUUGAAAUAUUACCAGUUUGAUUUAACCUAAGUAAACCUUAAGGUCUAGAAUAGGUAGCGAGCACUGAGUAGAAAUGAAGACCUAAUUGGCACUUUAUUUCACCUCAGAAAUUGAAAAUCCCCUGAACACACACAAGAUUGGUUCAUGUAGCAGGUCUCAAAGAGAAUAAACUUCCCAGAAAUUGUUUAGCAUACUUGCUCAUUAUCUUGUUCCAGAGAAUAAAGUUCCCAAAUGAAUGGGUCAAAGAAGAGCUGAACGAUCCUGAGAACCUUGCCGAAUGGAGAGUGGGUGAUGAGAGCGAGUUUCUAGAGGAUUUUAAAAGAGGGUUCUUGAGAAAGCUCUCCCGCUCAUUUAUCUGCAUACAGAGUAAGAAUGUUAAGAAACAACUGGACUAGAAAUACACAAAUCUCCGCUUUGGGAAACAGACAUCAACUUCCAUUCUGACAUGGUAUCCGUUGAAGAAUUGAAGAAAGUGCUAAAAGCUCAGUAAGGUUGGAGCUCCUGCCAUUUGUAAAGCCAUGUAGUCUCUUGUUUUUAAUUUGUUCAGGAGGAAUAGCCACCUUCUUUGUUGGAUUUGAUGAUCAAUUUACGCAUCCAGUUCUGCUAGUGCUCAAGCAUCUCUGUGCCGUCCAGCUCUGUGAUAAUUCUUCAAACAUUUACUGUUCCAAAUGUUGCCAAUCGUACCCACAUGAAUGGAGCUUACAAGAAAAACACGGUUGGUUGCUAAGAAGUUUCCUUUCAAAUAAAAACAGACUUGUUAGUACUCAGGAAUUACUUCAUACCAUGUGAACCUUCCUUCCUAAUAAUAGAACAGAGAGGUUCUGAUAACGACUGCCAGUUCAUGUUCUUGACACUUGCAAAUUACUUCAGGGGUCCACGGGGUAUCAGUUGUAGUCGGUUGUAUUUUGAAAUAUAUUUUUUUUAAAUGUAAUAAAAAAUUAUUUUUAAAUAAAGAAUCCAACCUCGGGUUUGGCUGGUUACGUAAAACCACCUAAAUAGCUUAUAUGUAAUAACGUGUUUUGUUUUUUAUUUGAAAAGAAAUUAGAAUAAUAUUUUUUUUAAUUUAUUUUUAAUAUUAGUAUAUUAAAAUGAUAUAAAAACAUUAAUUUGAAGUUAAAAAAAUUAAUUUUUUUAAAAUAUAAUUGAACCACAAAAAGCUUGGUAUCACAUAGCACCGCGGUUUGCACAACAGUAAAAUCAUCGUCUUUUCAUUGUGGUGUGCGGUAAUAUCGAACAUAGAACUAAAUCAUUUCUCCUUCAUUUCACCGAAGUAAUUAAAUUUAUUAAUUAAUCCACAUAUUAUUUAAUUAAAAUUAUUAAUUUAUCAAAUUUAUGAAAGCUAUUUUCAGAUCCUUUGUCAUCAUGCAAUUAAAAUCAGUCAAAACUCAUUCUUGGCACAACUUCGCAUCUGUCAUCAGCUUUGGUAAAAUCCUCCUCUCAAAAACCAAGUAUCAAUUCGAAUGCGUGCAUGUUACCUAAAGAGAUUGCUUCUGGCCCAAACUAGAACACGUGGGCUUUGACUAACACUUCUCCCAGCCCAACUAAUCUCCACCCAUUCACAGAUCCACGUGAACGGUCAUAAUUAAACAGAAAAUAAUCUACAGAUCUUCAUCUAAGCCUCUUCAUUCCAAACCUGCCCCUGGACAAUAAAUUUAAUUCCCAAAUUCCUCCAGUUGAGAUCUGCAAUAAAUUCCACUCCUCGCACUUUUGACCCCUCACUCUCUUUACUUCGUUUUGUUGAAGGUCCUCCACUCUCUCUCUCUCUCUCUCUCUCUCUCUCUCUCUCUCUCUCUGUGUUUGGUUGCAGCCUCCAUUCUUUAAUCUGAGUCUCCUUGCAUUACAUGCUGCCAAACAUACCUUUUAACUUGAUUUUUCGAGUUUUGAAAUUUCUUCUCUUCGUGAAUUGGAUGACAGGAUAAUUUGUAGAGACUGUAAUGGCCGUGAGAAAACUGGCACUCUCACUGCUCCAAGGAAGGUAUUAAUUUAUUACAAAAACAACAUUGUCAGCGUCAAAUAAGAAUAAAUAUCAAAUUACUUCACCCAUUG